GCUUCGGUGAGGCUCCUCACUGUCUUCGGUGAUCGUUCAGUGUUGAGAAGCUUUUGAAAAUAUUUCAGCAGCACCUCUGCAAGAUAAUGAAAAAAAUGAACAGUGACUAGGGGACAAACUUUUUAUAGGUGGACCAACGGUUAAGAUUAACUGAUCUCCUUGUCGAUUUGUGCCACUUGGCGUCAAUCCAACACUCGAUCAGACGGUGGUUAGGUGUCCCUUCCCUCAGAUCCUGCCACGUCGGACCGAUCCAUGUCCAAACUGAUAAAC
rnacentral:lncRNA from 1 species